rfam:Alligator mississippiensis ScZkoYb_42.1, whole genome shotgun sequence.
UAGGGGGUACUAUAAGGGAAGUAGGAAGGAUUUUGAUUCCUUUUGAAUAGGUUCGAAUCCUAUUCCCCUAG